UGAAUUUGUUGUUCCCGCGCCUUGUGGGUCGUGUUGUUAUUUCGAUAUCUGUGGUGGUUUCUGUCUGUGGUCCGAUUGUGGUGGGUCUCGUACGACGCGGGAAUGGACGGCGUUCCUUUACACUCUGUUGACAAACAUGAAGUCGGACUGUGGCAGACAAGGAGCCUUUAUUAACGAGAAAUAAAUGAACAACCUGGAUACUUUCUUUUCAUUGUGGAUUUUGCUGAAUUAUAUAUCAGAUAAAGACGUCAAGAUUUAAAUUGUAUAAUAAACUGAGCAUA